UACGUUGUGGUUCCUUUGCACUUUCCUGA
rnacentral:piRNA from 1 species